CAGCAGGGCGGCGCCAGAGAGCACGCGCACAAACACACACACACAUACGCACAAACACACACAUACUGUAAAUACAUACACACACACAAAUACAGACACACACACAAAUACACACAUACUGUAAAUAUGUACACACACAUAAGCACAAACACGCACAUACUGUAAAUACAUACACACACACAAAUACAGACACACACAAAUACACACAUACUGUAAAUAUGUACACACACAUACGCACAAACACACACAUACUGUAAAUACGUACACACACACAAAUACACACAUACUGUAAAUACAUACACACACAAAUACAGACACACACACAAAUACACACAUACUGUAAAUAUGUACACACACAUACGCACAAAUACACACAUACUGUAAAUACGUACACACACACGAAUACACACAUACUGUAAAUACGUACACACACACACACACACACACACAAAUGCACACAUACUGUAAAUACGUACACACACACAUAAAUACACACAUACUGUAAAUACGCACACGCACACACACACACACAUACUGUAAAUACGCACACACAUGCAUGCACAAACACACACAUACACACACACGCAUACUGUAAAUACACGCACACACACACACACAAACUGUACAUACGCACACACACACACCUAUACACACACAUACAUACACACACACAUGCUGUACAUAUGCACACACCCACACACAAAUACACACAAACACACGCACACACAAAUACAUACAAACACACAUGCACACACACAAAGCACUCUGCUAAUCGCUUCUCUCCUAACACACACUGCCAGACUGGUUAGUAGGGUUUGCUACAAAAAAAAUCCUUUCCAUCUCGCAUCAUUGAAAAAAAAUGUCAUAUUGGGGAAAUUUGGAACAGAAUCAAUAAUCUUUUGGAUUAAUAUUUGUUCCUUGUUCACUAUAAUAGCAAAAAAAUUAAAAAGAUCAGCACAAGUUGAUUUUAAAAUUGUGAUACUCAGCAGUUUGGUUUAAAAUUUCAUUUUACCAUUAUUGUUAUAUGUAAUAAAGUUUUUCAUUUAUCAGUUCCUGUCAGCACUUGUGGCAAUGAGUUUAAGUGUUUCAGAGCUGCUCUCCAGAGCAAACGCUGCUAAAUACGCAAUAAUACACAAUUUGUGAAGUUAUUUGAACUCGCAAAUGCUCUGAUUCGUCCUUCAUCUUAUCCCUGUAUUCGGGAACAAAAAAAUAUCAGGAUUUGCAAACCCUACUAACGCACUCCCUUUACCAUGCCGUAACCCCUCCGAUGCCCUCUCUACUCCUGCACACUUUCAGACUGCACUUUCAGACUCUCCACUGUGACCUUACUGUACAGGGUAGCUCACUGAACUUUUUAAGGCCAUGAGCGUUUGCUUUAGUCUACAUAUUUUUUUGCUAGGUCUGUACUUCAGUCAAGUCAUACACAGGCCCCCCCACUGUCAAGAUGGACCCACAAAUGAACAUACCCACUGAGUCUUGUUCUCUGGACGGGUCCAUCUUGUAACUUGGUAGCCCUUCUUUAUGAUCUCUGCUUUAUCUGACUGUUGAAGUAUUGUGUGCUGUAUGUAAAAAAUGACAACCUACAACCUCAUACAUAAAAAAUAAGGCACAACAGGGCUCUGUGAGAUACAUGACUCAUUGCUGCCGUUUUCGUAAGCAAUUCCUCAUUGCCGAGACCACGUGACUUUGGCUGAGGAUGGGGGGGGGGGGGGCGGGGUGAGAGAAUGGUUUCCUCUUGUCAUAGCUUUCUACGACGAGACGGGUUUAAGAGAUGAGAAACGCUGUGCUGUGUCACAAGUCCGGGUCCCGCCCUGGCGAUCGCCGCUGUCGGCGUGGUGGCUGCUGUGUGCCAGCUUUGUGGUCCGCCUGCUGUACUGUGUGUGUGGCAGCGCCUGCAUGCGGCUGCGCAAACGGCGUCCGUCUUUGCGCGGAGCAAAACGCACCGCUGCCAUUGGUCGGCAACUGAAAGCCAAGGGUGUUUACCUUGGAGGGUACAGCCAAUGGAGCGCUUUCGCGGUACUAUAGCCGGCGCUCGUCCGUCGCUAGAUCCGAAAAGACCGGCGCGUACUUUUUUUUUUUUUUCCCGCGACGGACUAGCCGAUAUGCUGCCUCCCCAGCCACCGGAGCUCCCGAGGGCGAACUUUAGAGGAUUUUCCCCUGGGCGUGACGCCUCUUAAUGAAACGCAGAUCCAGCACUGGUUCAGGUUAGAUGUGCUGCAAAGCCCUAUCAGGACAUAUCAGAAAACAGUAUUACUGUACGAGUGUGACUUCACCAGUAUUAUGUUACGAAUGGGAAAAUGUUGUUGAAAGAAAAUGUGUACUUCAGGAGUAAUGCUUGUCACUGAAGGUAAAUAUCUGGAGAACCAGGCUAAAUGGUGACUGGAGGACGGGCCCAAGACACUUGGCUUCAAUCAAUAUUUACACCAAAUAUGUUUGAGGGAUCGAUAUUUUCAUAUUUGUGUGGGGAGUUUCCAGAAUUAAGGCCGCAGGUGAGAAGUGUAUGGGAAAUGAAAAACAUUGAGGAACUAGAAGGAAAAAGCUGAAAUUCAACAUCGGUUGUUUGAUUUGUUAUUUCAUUUUUUUUAAUCAACGGGGUUUCUGAGCUUCUGUUCCUUUAUGUUUUAAAUCUAAUGCUUUGUUGCCCUUUAUUAUGUGUAAUUUUGCUGCCAUAAUACAUCUGUGCCCAAGGACUACAGAUGCAUGUUUCACUGGUGGAAUCAGUGCUACUAUUAAUGCUGUCGUGUUAAUAUUUUCAGCUUCAGUUUAUUCCUUUCUAGCACCCACGCACUUGGUGCUCUUUAUUUAUGCGUUUUUUUUUUUUUUUUCUUAAAAAAAAUGUUUGGUGAUGUUUACAUUUGCGGAUUAAAAGCCAGUGAUGUUAUUGUUCUAUUUUGAAAGGAGCCUUUUCAAUGUGCGUAUACCUGAAGUCACCCGAGUGUUUUCAGGACCAAUAAGGUCUCAGUCGUGUGGCGAUGUACUCUAGGAAAAAAAGUGAACCGAACUUGUAUGCCACAGAAAUGGAAAUUUAUUUUCAUUGAUCACCUUGUUUUUUUUAUUUUAUUUUAUUUCUUCCAGUGAGAGUGCCUGUCUUUUUUCUCUGACGUCACCUUGUGUCUGCUGUAGUGUCACCACUAGAUGGUGCAAUUUGAGAAAAAGUCUACAGAAUCAGGCACAGGCUAGGUUAAAAUGUACAAUUGCUUGGGGGAAGCAGAUGUCUCCUUACAAGUACUAGAACUUUGUUGAUAGAGUAUAAAAAGUCAAACGAACUGAGACGAGGAGGCAAUCUAUGAAGGGAAAGACUCAUGUGAAGCUCAAAGAUAAAUAUAAAUCUUUUUUUGGUUUGUAUUUCAGCAGUGUGCCAACAGUACCUCCAAGCGAUAAACUCAUUUAAAGCAAAAUUCUGAGCCAACUGCCCCAGACAGGGACAAAGAUAUAAACGAGAGAAGGAAAGCUUUAAUUAUUUAGAAUUGUCUUUGUGAGAGUGCCAUAUUUUUUAAAGAAAUAUACUACCUGAAUAUUCCAGUAAUUCCAGACCUAAGAUUUGCUUUAAUGCGUACAAUGUAAAACAGGGUUGCAUAACAUAUUUUUCUUAUUCUGGCGUGCAGGUGUCAUGAUAACGUGACAGCUGUCUUGUCUUAACGUCACACAAUAGUCUUAAGUAUUGUUGUUUUAUCACCAGUAAUUUGAUAGUCUCAUUGAAUUAAUUUUGUUGGUUUCGCGAAUAAAUUACCCUCAGGAGAAAAUGGUUGUGAAUACAGAUAUAACACAUACAUCCCGGUUAAUCGUGCCGGGACCCUCCGGCGUACACAGCUUCUGUAGGGAAUACCGUUCAGUCUGUACUGCGUAUCUGUGCGUAUUUGCAUUUCCCUGUAUUUAAUUUCACUUUCUAUCGGACCAUUAACCUAAGGGUUAACGUCUAAUGGUGAUGUCAGGAAACGCAUAUAUAAAUGCACUUAGCGGUGUAUUAGCAUAAUCAUAAGGUCAUCUGAACUGUGCUUCAUUACAAAUGCGAUUCAGGGAAAAACGCGCAGUGACGCACCGGAGUCUUUUGAGGAACUCACGGGCGCUCUCGCAGUGCGCACGUCGCGCAUGUUCCUCAUUCCCGUCGGGCUUUCCGCGGGUCCCCAGCGCGUGCGUUAUAUAGCUCCGCUCUCUCAGCGCUGCUCUCCUGGGCUGCGCGUCCGAGAGGCACGCGCAACGCCUGUGAUGGCUGGCAGCAGCAGAGCUUUAAGACUGUUGAGGAGAUCAGUGACCACCCGUGAAUACGCCGGUUAUUAGUAAACCAUGUACUAAACUGCAUUUAUAAGUUAAUACCUUAUUGAUAAGCCGUUUCAUUUGCCUCACGUGGACAUGUCCUUGAGUGCUUCAAGGACACUCAGUCAUUGCCUACAACCUUUAAAGUUCUUGUUAAAAAAGCUGUCAAUAUUUCAUUGCAGCAUUAUUUUUUUUCCGCCCUACAUGCAUUUAUUUGUAUUAAAAUGCUAUAAUAUUGAGAAUUGAAACAUUAAAACAUUUGUUUCACCAGUUUCAAUUGAAUUGCUAUCACUAAACCACAGAACCAACUCUUGCUUCAGGAGAGACCAAAUGUUUCUAAUUAUCUAAUACUGCCACUUGAUAAAUCUCAGGUUAUAAUUAAAGUCAAGGCUAUAAAGCACUUAUACAAUUGUGCAGAUGCCAGGAAUAUUAAAAUCAGAAAUCAUAUUUGCUGGUGUUCAGUACUGUAAAACCUUUUGGCAAAAAAAUCUUUCUUCCUCCUUCAAGAAGUAUGAAAUUCCUUAGAACUGUUACUACUCAGCAGAAAAUGUGACAAAUUAUUUAAGUGUCAUAAUGUGUGUGAGGGAGCUUUGAUAGCCAUGACAGAUCUAUCCAAUGCUGUUUAUCAGGAAAAAAAAAUUUGUUAUGUAAAUAGUGUAUUUGUGUAUAUUCAUUUGAACUUUUAUGUCAUUCUGUAAUCAAUAAAUUAUAAACGUGUCUUCAA